rnacentral:rRNA from 1 species
CCCUUAGAUGUUCUGGGCCGCACGCGCGCUACACUGACGAAGUCAGCGAGCAUGUCCUACGCCGACAGGUGCGGGGAAUCUUGUCAAACUUCGUCGUGAUGGGGAUUGAUUUUUGAAAUUCUUGAUCAUAAACGAGGAAUUCCUAGUAAGCGCAAGUCAGCAGCUUGCGUCGAUUACGUCCCUGCCCUUUGUACACACCGCCCGUCGCUCCUACCGAUUGGGUGUGCUGGUGAAAUGUUCGGAUCGGCCGUUUGUCGCGGUUUCCGCGUCAUGUGGCUGAGAAGUUCAUUAAACCCUCCCACCUAGAGGAAGGAGAAGUCGUAACA